AUUGAACGCUGGCGGCAGGCCUAACACAUGCAAGUCGAACGGUAGCACAGAGAGCUUGCUCUCGGGUGACGAGUGGCUGACGGGUGAGUAAUGUCUGGGAAACUGCCUGAUGGGAGGGGGAUAACUACUGGAAACGGUAGCUAAUACCGCAUAAUGUCGCAAGACCAAAGAGGGGGACCUUCGGGCCUCUUGCCAUCAGAUGUGCCCAGAUGGGAUUAG
rnacentral:rRNA from 1 species